UACGGAGGGUGCAAGCGUUAUCCGGAUUCACUGGGUUUAAAGGGUGCGUAGGUGGGUUGGUAAGUCAGUGGUGAAAUCUCCGGGCUUAACCCGGAAACUGCCGUUGAUACUAUCAAUCUUGAAUAUCGCGUAGGUAAGCGGAAUAUGUCAUGUAGCGGUGAAAUGCUUAGAUAUGACAUAGAACACCAAUUGCGAAGGCAGCUUACUUCACGAUCAUUGACACUGAGGCACGAAAGCGUGGGGAUCAAACAGG
rnacentral:rRNA from 1 species